GACGAACGCUGGCGGCGUGCUUAACACAUGCAAGUCGAACGCUGAAGCUCAGCUUGCUGGGUGGAUGAGUGGCGAACGGGUGAGUAACACGUGAGUAACCUGCCCUCUUCUUUGGGAUAACGCCCGGAAACGGGUGCUAAUACUGGAUAUUCACUGAUUCUCGCAUGGGGGUUGGUGGAAAGGUUUUUUCUGGUGGGGGAUGGGCUCGCGGCCUAUCAGCUUGUUGGUGGGGUGAUGGCCUACCAAGGCUUUGACGGGUAGCCGGCCUGAGAGGGUGACCGGUCACAUUGGGACUGAGAUACGGCCCAGACUCCUACGGGAGGCAGCAGUGGGGAAUAUUGCACAAUGGGCGAAAGCCUGAUGCAGCGACGCCGCGUGAGGGAGGGAGGCCUUCGGGGUGUAAACCUCUUUCGCUCAUGGUCAAGCCGCAGCUUUGGGUUGUGGUGAGGGUAGUGGGUAAAGAAGCGCCGGCUAACUACGUG
rnacentral:rRNA from 1 species